rnacentral:rRNA from 1 species
UACGAAGGGGGCUAGCGUUGUUCGGAAUUACUGGGCGUAAAGCGCGCGCAGGCGGUCUUCCAAGUCGGUGGUGAAAGCCCGGAGCUCAACUCCGGAACUGCCAUUGAAACUGUUAGACUUGAGGAUGAGAGAGGUGAGUGGAAUUCCUAGUGUAGAGGUGAAAUUCGUAGAUAUUAGGAAGAACACCGGUGGCGAAGGCGGCCCACUGGAUCGGUACUGACGCUGAGGUGCGAAAGCGUGGGGAGCAAACAGG